AGAGCCUCCCCAUGGGAUGUUAUUACCAGGUGUUGAAACUGCAACACAUCAGCCAGCGGUUAACCAGGAAAACAUAUCUAGAUAGCAAAGGAGAUUUAAUGCAGGAAAUUGGUUCCCCAGGGGAUGGAGAGGCUCAGGAAUCAACCAGGGACAAUGCAAGUCCAGGAGCGGUGAGAAGACCCUCCAUCCCUGGGCUGAGAGAGAGAAGGAGGUGAUGCAAACAUGGAAAGUGAUGACAAUCACAAAUGCCAAGAAAACAAGCAAAUAUCAAGGUGUAAGUUAUUGGCGCUGCUACAGCAUCUGGAAGACAAUCCACAUGUGCUGCCAGAAGCCCCAAACGACGCCUGCCGAGCUUGCUGGAAUCCAGCACAGCUCCGAGAAUCACGUUCCCUGAUUCUUCCAGUGGUUCGUAAGCCUGGAUGCCCUGGGUCAGGUCCUCCCCUGCUUGGGAUGCUGGAACAAUUCCACUUCCCACCCACCCCGCCUGGUGCAAUGGGACAGCGCAGAGAGCCCUUGUGCUGCCCUCCAGCCCUGUGCCGCCCCGAAGGGGCGUCCGAUCCCGGGGAGGCUCUCGGGGCAGUGGGUGGUGCCCAGGCCGGCCCCCCCUGGGAAGGGGAGUUUACUGGAAGGAGGCAGAGUCCCUUGGGACCCUGGAUGUUCUCCGACAAGUGGUCCUUUCUCAGGCUCCAGUUGUCCCCACGUGGAGGAGGGGGCAGGAAGAAGAAGCGAUUGGAUUGAGGGAUUCCCUGUUUGACAGAAUGGUUUAGGAAAUAAAUACACUCCAGUCCUGCAGAGCUGAACCAGGCCUUACCGGAAUAUCUCCCAGGGAAUUUCCACCCACUCCGGCACCUGUCCCUGCCAGCCAGGAAAUGCCCCCCGCGGACUUAUCUCCUCGCAGUGAGUGUGGGUGACUGCUGUCCAGACCCCCCAAUGUUUGCGGUCUCUCUUCCUGAGUCGGUUUCCCUCGGAGACUGCCUAGGUGUCUCCACCGCUGUUUGCUUUGAGCCUGCGAACAGGGUAUUUAAAAAUAGCCUUAUCUGAAAGCUUCAGUGUGCCUGAGCGGUUCCCAUCAGAUAGGCCCAUGGUUGUACUUGACCUGUGUGUCCUGGCAGGGCCACACUACUGUCCUCCUCCAGUCUCUUCUUCUCAACUGCAGACUCGGGGCUCUGACAGAGAGCAUUAGGAAGCGGGAGAUGCUCUGCUCUUGCCAAGAAGCCAAAGAGAAUGCUGUCAACAGAGCGUAAAAACCCCUUUCUAAAUAAGACGGGUGAGAUCUGCAGGGGCCGGGGCAGUCUCAGUCUUGACUGAUGUCACCAGUGCAUGAGGUACACACUUACUGAGGCCACCAGGCAGCUAAUGUAGCAUCAGGCUGUGUCUCGGAAGGAAGAAGCUGCACCAUCCCCGAAAUGUCACUUCUGCUGUCCCCAUUCUCUGAUCAUCACCUUCUGUUCAGCUUUUCCCCACCAGCCCUGUCACUCAGCGAGUCCCAGAUGGCACCGAGACCGCCAACCAUGGACCCCACCGCUCUAGCACUGCUGUCACCCCCGCCCCCGUGUCCCCA